CUCAACGGGGGGCAUGUGCACGCUCUGUUAACACAUCCACUCACACCUGUGCACACUCCGUAGUUCUAUGGUCUGGGGGACAUGCCGUCUUCCUCCUGUAGUUCUGCGUCUUUACACAUACACUGUAGAAAAGUCUUAUGGAAUGCUUACCGCGUCUAACGCAAUACAAUACAACUUUCAGCAACGGAUCUCUUGGCUCUCGCAUCGAUGAAGAACGCAGCGAAAUGCGAUAAGUAAUGUGAAUUGCAGAAUUCAGUGAAUCAUCGAAUCUUUGAACGCACCUUGCGCCCCUUGGCUAUUCCGAGGGGCAUGCCUGUUUGAGUAUCAUGAACACCUCAACUCUUGUGGUUCGCCAUGAAGAGCUUGGACUUGGGGGCUUGCUGGCGCACAGCCGGCUCCUCUCAAAUGAAUUAGCCUGCCAGUGUUUGGUGGCGUCACGGGUGUGAUAACUAUUUACGCUUGUGGUGCCUGCCAGGUAACCUUCGGUGACGGAGGUUCGCUGGAGCUUAUAAACGUCUUUCCUUGGUGAAGACAGCUUUUGAACGUUCGAUCUCAAAUCAGGUAGGACUACCCGCUGAACUUAAGCAUAUCAU
rnacentral:rRNA from 1 species